rnacentral:snRNA from 1 species
AUACUUACCUGGCAGGGGAGACACCAUGAUCACGAUGGUGGUUUUCCCAGGGCGAGGCUCACCCAUUGCACUGCGGGUGUGCUGACUCCUGCGAUUUCCCCAAAUGCGGGAAGCUCGACUGCAUAAAGGA